rnacentral:rRNA from 2 species
UACGUAGGGUGCAAGCGUUGCCCGGAUUUAUUGGGCGUAAAGGGCGCGUAGGCGGUCACGCACGUCCGUUGUGAAAUCGCUCGGCUCAACUGGGCGGGGUCAGCGGAUACGGUGUGACUGGAGCAAGCUAGGGGGCAAUGGAAUUCCCGGUGUAGUGGUGGAAUGCGUAGAUAUCGGGAGGAACACCAGUGGCGAAGGCGGUUGCCUGGAGCUUUGCUGACGCUGAUGCGCGAAAGCGUGGGGAGCGAUCCGG